rnacentral:tRNA from 1 species
GGACACAUUAGCUGAGUGGAUAAAGCGAUGUCGUUUGAAUCAAAAGGUACUGGGUUCGAGUCUCAGAGUGAAC